rnacentral:sRNA from 1 species
CGUUAAGGUCAGCCAGCUCUGCUCUCCUUCAUACAUACUGGGUUGGAGUUCAAAUCCCGUCAUUCAGGGGCUGUGUGAUUUGGGUUCAGAAGAAGGAUUAUUGGCUAAGGCUGUGGCUAAACGGUAGAACAUUUGCCUAACUCGUGCAAGACCCAGUCCCUGUUCCAACCAACCAACCAACCAACCAACCAACCAACCAACCCUUUGUCAGGUGACUCUCUUAAAUACCCAAAACCCCUAUAGUAUUGAAUAGAAGCAACCCCGGGGCAGGACUUACUUAAUGGCGUAGUUGCAGACCAGGUACACAGCCUGCUGCCAGGUGCUGCCCCACACAUUGAUGCUGCUGCACGUGUGAAUAGCGCAUCCCAGCCGACUGGAGGAGGCCCACACCAUCUGCAGAAGCACAGAGACAGGCAAGCUGAGACUCGAAGGAGCCCUGGGCAGCAACGGACCCCAUUCCAUGCCAAAGAGAGGACACAGAGCUUCAUGCAUGCAAGGCAAAUGGCCGACCUUGACCUAUAUCCUCAGCCCUCCGCUAGCUCUUUAUGUGAUGACAGCAUGCAAUUUAUGUCAUGAUCUGUGCUGGUGACUGAAUGUAAAAGAUUCCCAUAGUUGUAUGUAAGACUGGAUUAAAUUGUUAUACCUCGAUACAACUUUAAGGACUAUAUAGGGCUUUGAA